CACAGAAUCAACCCCAUGGCCGUCCCAGUCCCCAGACCUAAAUCCUGUAGAAGACCUGAGGGAACGAGGCUCUGACUUAAUCUUAAUCUCCUCUGCAUUUUAACAUGGACACUAAUACGUUCUGAGGAAAAUGGUAUAAAAGACGAUGAGUUUAUUGCAAAAAAUGGGAUUCUGGGUUCUUGCUUCUGCAAAUCUUCUGACCGAAAGGAGACAAAAAGUGAAAAAAUGGAUCAAAUUGAAAUAAAACAGCAUUCAU